rnacentral:rRNA from 1 species
UACGUAGGGUGCGAGCGUUGUCCGGAAUUAUUGGGCGUAAAGGGCUCGUAGGCGGUCUGUCGCGUCGAAAGUGAAAACCCAGGGCUUAACCCUGGGCCUGCUUCCGAUACGGGCAGACUAGAGGUAUGCAGGGGAGAACGGAAUUCCUGGUGUAGCGGUGAAAUGCGCAGAUAUCAGGAGGAACACCGGUGGCGAAGGCGGGUCUCUGGGCAGUAACUGACGCUGAGGAGCGAAAGCGUGGGGAGCAAAAGGG